rnacentral:rRNA from 1 species
UGCGGAGGGAUCAUUACUGAGUUUUUAACUCCAAACCAUUGUGAACUUACCACUGUUGCCUCGGCGGCAGUCCUUCUUUACGGGAGGCGGCCGCCGGUGGACUACUAAAUUCUUGUUAAUUUUUGUCAUUCUGAAUUAAAAACUUAAUAAGUUAAAACUUUCAACAACGGAUCUCUUGGUUCUGGCAUCGAUGAAGAACGCAGCGAAAUGCGAUAAGUAAUGUGAAUUGCAGAAUUCAGUGAAUCAUCGAAUCUUUGAACGCACAUUGCGCCCAUUAGUAUUCUAGUGGGCAUGCCUGUUCGAGCGUCAUUUCAACCCUUAAGCUUAGCUUAGUAUUGGGAAUCUGCUUAACCGCAGCUCCUUAAAUCUAGUUGGCAGAGCACAGCUGUACUCUGAGCGUAGUAAUUCAUUAUCUCGCUUUUCGAAGACAGCAGUACGAUCGCCAUAAACCUAUUUACUUUUUAAUGGUUGACCUCGGAUCAGGUAGGAAUACCCGCUGAACUUAAGCAU